AGAGUUUGAUCAUGGCUCAGGAUGAACGCUGGCGGCGUGCCUAACACAUGCAAGUUGAGCGAUUUACUUCGGUAAAGAGCGGCGGACGGGUGAGUAACGCGUGGGUAACCUGCCCUGUACACACGGAUAACAUACCGAAAGGUAUGCUAAUACGAGAUAAUAUGCUUUUAUCGCAUGGUAGAAGUAUCAAAGCUUUUGCGGUACAGGAUGGACCCGCGUCUGAUUAGCUAGUUGGUAAGGUAACGGCUUACCAAGGCGACGAUCAGUAGCCGACCUGAGAGGGUGAUCGGCCACAUUGGAACUGAGACACGGUCCAAACUCCUACGGGAGGCAGCAGUGGGGAAUAUUGCACAAUGGGCGAAAGCCUGAUGCAGCAACGCCGCGUGAGCGAUGAAGGCCUUCGGGUCGUAAAGCUCUGUCCUCAAGGAAGAUAAUGACGGUACUUGAGGAGGAAGCUCCGG
rnacentral:rRNA from 1 species